rnacentral:rRNA from 1 species
GACGAAGGGGGCUAGCGUUGUUCGGAAUUACUGGGCGUAAAGCGCGUGUAGGCGGUUGCCCAAGUCGGGUGUGAAAGCCUUGAGCUCAACUCAAGAAUUGCACUCGAUACUUGGUGACUAGAGGACCGGAGAGGAUAGUGGAAUUCCCAGUGUAGUGGUGAAAUACGUAGAGAUUGGGAAGAACACCAGUGGCGAAGGCGGCUAUCUGGACGGUUUCUGACGCUAAGACGCGAAAGCGUGGGGAGCAAACAGG